GACAAAGCCCUGGCUGGGAUGAUUUAGUUGGGGAUUGGUCCUGCUUUGAGCAGGGGGUUGGACUAGAUACCUCCUGAGGUCCCUUCCAACCCUGAUAUUCUAUGAUUCUAUGAAAUGGCCAUGGUAAUCCAUAAGCAGCUGGAGAACCAAAGAGACUACCCCUUCCUAACAAUGUACUUGGUGGCUAGGUGGUCUGGUGCCAGAAUUGGAAUAUGCAUGCCAUCUAUUGCCCCUCCGCAGUUAGGGAAGCCCAUUUGUGCAAAGCCAUCCACAAUAUCACGCACGUUGCCUAGGGUCAGUGUCUUUCGGAGCAUGAUGCAAUUAAUGGCCCUGCACGCUUCCAUCAACACGUGUCCAAUGGUCCACUUUCUCACUCCAAACUGGUUAGCGACUGCUAGCAGUCUGGAGUAGCCAGCUUCCACAGUGCAAUUGCCAUGCUCUUCUCCAGUGACAGGGCAGCUCACAUUCUCUUGUCGUUGCGCUCCAGAGCUGGGGUGAGCUCAUCAUACAGUCUCAUGAAUGUGACUUUCCCCAUCCAAAAGCUCUGCAGCCACUGCUUGUCAUCCCACAUGUGCAUGACGAUGUGAUCCCACCACUAAGUGCUUGUUUGCUUAGCCCAAAAGCGGCGUUCCACUGUGGUCAGCACCUCCGUGAAUGCCACAAGCAAUCCCAUGUCGUAGGUCUUACACAUGGAGAGAGCAAUGUCAAACUCCUCUUGCCUUUGUAGUUUAAGGAAUAACACCACUGCCACUCGUGACAUGUUAGUGAGAGUGAGCAUCAUAUUGCUCAACAGUGCGGGAUCCAUUCCUGCAGCCCGAAAGAGGCAGGGCGCGCAGUACACAGGCCGUUGAAAGAUGGUACCAAAUGCAGAUGGAAGCACAGGGAUUACUGUGAUGCGAAGCAAUGCAUCACGGGGCAUUGGGACAGGACCCAGGAUGCCCCGCGACCUCCUCUGCCUUCCCACAACUCUUAGCAGAAGAAAAGGAAGCGAUGCUCAGUGGGAUAGCUGCCCAGAGUGCACCGCUCUGAACACCUCUGCAAGUGCCACAAGUGUGAACACGCUAUUGCGCAGGUAGCUGACAGUGUGAACACACAACAGCAGUUACCCUUCAGCACUCUCUGAGCGGCACUGUAACUACCAGCGCUGUAACUCUGCCAGUGUAGACAUAGCCUCAGAGAGACUGACUGCCAGGAUCCCAGCACUGAUCCCCUCUGGGGAAUGAAGCACAACAUCGACAGGCUAUGCAGCCUUCACAAGUCUCCCUGUACCUGAAAAGCCUGCUAGCCCAAAGUGCUGAACCAUCUAUUGCAUUACCUGGUUCCUAAACUGGAGCUACGGUUCCUACUCCAGGUGAAUCCAAAGAUCGAGAGGUGCAGAGAUCCAAUCCCUUAAAAUCUUAGAAACAUUUUAUUUCUUUUUCUAUUUUGUGUCUGUUUCUUUUUAUGAACUUGGAGACCUCCCAGCCUUUCUAUUAGAUUGGGGUGUAACAGAGUGUGAGUGUGUGAACACCUCUGAAAUCUACAAAGAGAAGAUACUAGGAAGAGUAGUUCCCCAAAUCUUAAAAGCCUUCAAACUCCGAAAUGACUGAAUGCAUGCUCCUCACCUAUGGAAGCAUUGCAAGGAAUUGAGCUGUCAGAUAUGUAUUUUUCAGCAAGAGCUGUUUGAACUUCUUUUACUAAUGUCUCUCUAAGCUCUGUAUGUGUUUUGGGACGAGAGGGCGAGUUGAAGUAUUAGCUACAGAAUAGUGAAAUCUAAGGAGAAAACUGUAAUUAGCUUUGAGGUUGUUGUGGGCAAAAUAUAAGCAAUAAUUUGGUUUUGGUAUUGAAAUAUUCAGCUGGCUAAAACUGGGUUGCAUUGCCUGGGUAAAAAUCUCUGAUUGGGGUUUUGGCAUCACUAAAUAUGCACCUUUCUUCUUGGGUUGCUCUUUUAGGAUUUAUAAGGGUUGAUUUUCUAAUGUAUUAAUCUGAUCAUUUGAUUAAAUUUAUAACUUGAUUCCAAUGUAAUAUCCGUGUUAACUCAUUGAUUUACUGACUUCACCUGAACUUUAUCACUGCAUUUUUUUAGCCUUAGUGAUAGCAGUUCACAAAAUUUGUCUUAUCUGCUCCUGGGAUUCCCUGAAAUACUCUUAUCACUUCAUCCUUUAGCUUUGUUAUUGUGCAGAUGCAUGUCAUUCUGCUAUUUCAUUUAUAUUUUACCAAGUCCUCCUUGAAAAUAUGCAGCAGUAAGUACUUGCUACUUCUAGCAAUGACAUCUGUGUUUCUAGUAUUGCACUUGAGAUGUUUUUUACUGUGAUUUCUAAUUUGGGGCAUUUUUAAUUCUAACUUUUUCUUCUUCUUUUUAGAGCAGAAGUGUAUUCUGCUGGAUCAUCUGACUUCCAGCCUGACUGUGUUUCUCAGCUGGCCUCAAAACCCAUUUUUUUAUUCAAUCCACCAACGCUGAUUGCCUUUUGCAACUGUCUCUCAAUCCAGCCCUUAGUUUUUUUCUGCAUGCCAUUGCUUGUGUAUAUAACUUGAUUCACACAUAUUCCAUAAAGGCAGUAUCUCUCUCAUGUAACGUCCGUCUCAAAGGCAAAAAUCUAUUGUAACUUUUGCUGAACAUUAGAACUGCUGUAGUGGCUCAGACAAAUACUCCGUCUAGUACAGGAUCGUGUCCUCUGACAGUGGCCAGUAGCAGGUGCUUCUGAGGGAAUGAACGCAACAGGUAAUCACUGAGUGAACCAUCCUGGCAGUCAAGAGGUUUAGAGACACCCAGAGCAUGGGGAUGCAUCCCUGAUUCUAUCAGCUAAUAGCUGAUGCACCUAUCCUGAGGAACUGAUCUAAUUCUUUGUUAAACUGAUUUAUAGUUUUGGCCUUCAAAACACAAUGAACACACAUCUACAACCCCAAGAGGGCUUGACAACCAUAAGAAUUCUAAACACCUGAAUUAUACACCCUGAGGUCAAGAAAUUGUAAUUAAUACAUGAUAUUUUGUUCUUAUGUGUCUCUUUGAUCCUGAGCCUUUAUGGUGCUGUAAGGCCAUUUCCACAAAAGCUGGAGCUGAACACCUGAAUGAAACUUGGUCUACCCUCAUACUUUUCCUGUUACCUCUCCCAAACCUUUCUUAGACCUAAGGCCAUAUCUACACUACAAGCAUAUGUUAACUCAAGUUAUGUCAGCAUAGACUCACCACUGUUACUAUGUCACUUCUGUGACUUGUGCUAUUGUAAUAAAUAAAAUAGAACUGUAAUGGUGAUAAAUUACACCAGCAUCCAAAUAUAUUGAAGGCGAACCCUCAGGAUACUAAGAAUUUAAAUUAUCCUUCCCAUGUCCUACUAAAAUGAAUCCAACCCACAGUCACUUGGGCAGAAGUGCUACAUUGUGAGCACAGUAAACGAAGAAGCAAAAUAAAUGAUGUUUAAAUGA